UUAAUUAAGAUCAUGUAAACUAUCUUAAAGCUGUUAUUUACAAGCAUAACUAUUACAUUUACAUUUUGUGGCAGGUUAAGAAUGCAGUGUCAAAGGGACUGACUGGGAUGUCGUGCACAGACGAGCAGCAGCACUGGAACUCAGGGACGCAGCGGAAUUUAGCCCCGAAGAGGCUGGCCGAGAUACACUAUAUUGCCAAAAGUAUUCGCUCAUCUGCCUUUAGACGCAUAUGAACUUAAGUGACAUGCCAUUCUUAAUCCAUAGGGUUUAAUAUGACGUCGGUCCACCCUUUGCAGCUAUAACAGCUUCAACUCUUCUGGGAAGGCUUUCCACAAGGUUUAGGAGUGUGUUUAUGGGAAUUUUUGACCAUUCUUCCAGAAGCGCAUUUGUGAGGUCAGACACUGAUGUUGGACGAGAAGGCCUGGCUCACAGUCUUCGCUCUAAUUCAUCCCAAAGGUGCUCUAUCGGGUUGAGGUCAGGACUCUGUGCAGGCCAGUCAAGUUCUUCCACACCAAACUCGCUCAUCCAUGUCUUUAUGGACCUUGCUUUGUGCACUGGUGCGCAGUCAUGUUGGAACAGGAAGGGGCCAUCCCCAAACUGUUCCCACAAAGUUGGGAGCAUGGAAUUGUCCAAAAUCUCUUGGUAUGCUGAAGCAUUCAGAGUUCCUUUCACUGGAACUAAGGGGCCAAGCCCAGCUCCUGAAAAACAACCCCACACCAUAAUCCCCCCUCCACCAAACUUCACAGUUGGCACAAUGCAGUCAGACAAGUACCGUUCUCCUGGCAACCGCCAAACCCAGACUCGUCCAUCAGAUUGCCAGAUGGAGAAGCGUGAUUCAUCACUCCAGAGAACGCGUCUCCACUGCUCUAGAGUCCAGUGGCGGCGUGCUUUACACCACUGCAUCCGACGCUUUGCAUUGCACUUGGUGAUUUAUGGCUUGGAUGCAGCUGCUCGGCCAUGGAAACCCAUUCCAUGAAGCUCUCUACGCACUGUUCUUGAGCUAAUCUGAAGGCCACAUGAACUUUGGAGGUCUGUAGCGAUUGACUCUGCAGAAAGUUGGCGACCUCUGCGCACUAUGCGCCUCAGCAUCCGCUGACCCUGCUCUGUCAUUUUACGUGGCCUACCACUUCGUGGCUGAGUUGCUGUCAUUCCCAAUCGCUUCCACUUUGUUAUAAUACCACUGACAGUUGACUGUGGAAUAUUUAGUAGCGAGGAAAUUUCACGACUGGACUUGUUGCACAGGUGGCAUCCUAUCACAGUACCACGCUGGAAUUCACUGAGCUCCUGAGAGCGGCCCAUUCUUUCACAAAUGUUUGUAGAAGCAGUCUGCAUGCCUAGGUGCUUCAUUUUAUACACCUGUGGCCAUGGAAGUGAUUGGAACACCUGAAUUCAAUUAUUUGGAUGGGUGAGCGAAUACUUUUGGCAAUAUAGUGUAUGUUUUAAACACCACAAAUUUAUGGAUGACUUACCUGAGACUUCAGCUGCUGUUUUUAAGUCAUCAACACCAACUCCUGCUUUCAACUCCCACAGCGAGCAGAGGAAAUCAGAGGUUCAUAUACCUGUAGGUAGCCUUCUGCACAAAUGCAUGUCAGCUGAACCAGAAUUUGUACCAACAGGCACCACACAGCAGCAGCAGCCUCAUGGUUCCAUGGCAAUUAUCCUACAAGGUAUAGUCAGGAGAAUGAGGAAUUGGCUUGUGCAUGGAUUUAGAGCUCUGGGUAUGCUGUUGAGAGGAGAGGACUGGUUGUUAGCUGUAAGGAGCCGUGGCUUUCUGCAAGCCCAGAUGGAAUAUUAAACUCCUCAGAGCUGCUGGAAUCAAGUGUCCUUUUUUGAGCAGAAACUGCACACAUCUAGCGGAACUGUUCUCUGGCAAGCUCACUGACUUGAAGAUUGUGGAUAGCAUACCUCAGCUACAACCCAAAGGACCCUGUGGGUACUACCUCCAAGUGCAACUAGAAUUGUAGAUGAGUUUGAUUGCGGAAGACUUGUGCUUUGCCAUAAGUACGCUGACAUGUGCAACUGUGGAGACAAGAGUUGCCUUGCACAACACCCACAAGGCUGUUGCUUAUCUAACAAGUAACUCAAACAUACAGUGUUGAGGGGGUUAGAACUGUCAAAAGGGUGGGGGCGCUAACCCAAGAGAGAAACAAAUUAUACUGUGUGCAUCAGCAUGUCAGAGGUGCAGAAUGAUUGAGCCCAGCUACAUCUUGGGGCCUAUAUAUGCUGAGGAGGUUGGAGGCUCAUUACUCAUUACCUGUGAGAAUUCUCUGUAUGUUA